CUUGGUCACAGAUCCCACUUCAGAUCACCCUGGUGGAUGCACUGCUGCUGAUCUUGCAUCUGCAAAGGGUUAUGAUGGCUUAGCAGCUUAUCUGUCAGAAAAGUGUUUAGUAGCACAAUUCAAGGAUAUGUCUGUAGCCGGAAAUGUUAGUGGCUCUCUGCAAACAAGUUCAACUGACAAUGUGAACGCCGAGAAUUUAAGUGAGGAGGACCUAUAUCUGAAGGAUACUUUAGCAGCUUAUCGAACAGUUGCUGAUGCAGCAGCACGUAUACAGGUUGCAUUUAGAGAACACUCCCUAAAAGUUCGGACUAAAGCAGUUCAGUUUGCAAAUCCAGAGGAUGAAGCACGGAACAUAGUUGCGGCAAUGAAGAUUCAACAUGCCUUUCGCAACUAUGAAACACGGAAAAAGAUGGCAGCUGCUGCCCGUAUCCAGUAUAGGUUUCGUACAUGGAAAAUGCGGAAGGAAUUCCUUACCAUGCGUAAACAUGCUAUCAGAAUUCAAGCUGCUUUUCGAGGCUUCCAAGUGAGAAGGCAAUACUGCAAGAUAGUCUGGUCAGUUGGAGUGCUUGAGAAAGCAAUUCUGCGAUGGCGUUUAAAAAGAAGAGGAUUCCGUGGCCUUCAUGUUGAUCCCAUUGAAGUAGUUGCAGAUGAGAGGCAGGAAAGUGAUGUGGAGGAAGACUUCUACCGAGCUAGUCGGAAGCAAGCUGAAGAGCGUGUUGAGAGAGCAGUUGUACGGGUUCAAGCCAUGUUCCGUUCAAGGAAGGCACAAGAAGAAUAUCGCAGGAUGAAAUUGACUUAUAACGAAGCAGAGCUGGAAUACGAAGGGCUUCUUGACCAUGAUAUCAACUUGGAUGGAUGAACCUGAUUGAAGAUGCAGAUUGACUUGGUAAUUUUGCGGUUAUGGAUGGUAUGCAUGUAAAUCUGAAUGUUCGUAGUGUAGGUUUAUGCCUUUUAGUAGCCUGUACAUCUUGGUAGAUGCCUAGUAUGAUCUGGUCAUGCACUUUUUUACCCUUGUCAUGAUAACAA
rnacentral:misc_RNA from 1 species